rnacentral:lncRNA from 1 species
CUCGUUAGCAAAUAAAACCUUGUUCUGCAGGUCCUUUAAGCAAUUUUUUUUUUUCUGAUGGAUAAUUACCUUUUUUUUUUUUCUUCCGUAAGUCUCCAAACUACUGUGCUCCUGUUUUAACCUCUAUACAGUCAGAGAAGGCAAUUCAGGCUGACCAGACUGGCACUCUCCAGUUUCAAACAGAUUAUUGGAAGUAUGAGAUCAACCUCAAAGGUGAAGUAUCUGUUUGCUUGAUCUCUAAUGCAGGUGGGAUGUCCUGCACGGGCAAGGCUUGCAGGCCAGGACACAAAAGGGGUGAAAAGCUCUUCACUGAUUUUAAGCAGUCAGUACUACAGGAGCAUGGAGGGGAGUGUGGAAAGAAGGGGAUUCUCUGCUAAGCAGGCACAAGGAUAAGUGCAGAUGUUGGUGUAAGAAGGAGAUGUACAGGAUGGGAGCUGAGGGUGGUUUUGGGAAGCCCUGAACGUGGCUGCAGGACUGGCUGUGCCGGGUCCCUAGAACUUUUGGCCUGGAUAUCUCCCAGAAACAAAGAGCUCCUUGAAACAGGGCAAAACAAGGUGACGAUCUGUUCUUCGGCUCUCACACAGGUUUUGAUGUGCGUCUUCAGAGUCACCGCGAUUGACACCGAGAGUGGAGAAAUGGCAUGAUGAAAGGAGAACACAAACCACGCGUGCCCCAAAAAGAACAAGGUGCUGCCCUUAUAACUUCUGCAAAUGUGGUGCCACAGUAUCAGAUUCAGCUGCACAUUUUUGAAUUUCAAGUGGAUUCACAGAAAUAUGAGAGAGACUUCAAAGGUAAAAAAAAAAAUCUGUGUACUUACCUGUUGACAUACUUAUGGGAGAACUAACUGCCAUGCAGCUUUUCUUCCAAAAUGCUACUUAAAAUCUUUUUUUGCUUGAAUGUGAAAGCAAUGAGGGAACAUUUCAUGGAGUACAGGCAGCAUCUAUUAACACUGGAAGAAGGGAAGGGGAAGGAACUGAAA